AUGACUAAUCCUCCACAUAUGCUGUCAGAACUCAUCAACCCGGUCACCUCUUCCUGGGAUGUCGAUGUGCUUGAAACGCACCUCUAUGCAAUGGACAAGGAAGCAAUCCUCAACAGCCCUCUCAGCUCUCGAGUCCGUGAUGAUUUCUGGGCGUGGCAUUAUGAACGCAAGGGCGUUUUCACGGUGAGGUCGGCAUACAAACUUUUGUCCUCCACAAAACAGCAGCGCACAGAUUGGCUUGAACACACUGAGGGGCACUCGUGGGCCGCUGCAGAUCGCCGGUCUUGGUCCAGACUAUGGGGUGCCGCAGUUCCCUCGAAAGUACGGGUCUUCACCUAG
rnacentral:rRNA from 1 species